rnacentral:lncRNA from 1 species
GACUAGAGUGGAUCCCCAUAAAAUGAGUGAAGCCAUAAUAUGAGUUAGAGACUACUGAAAAAGCCCCUCCUGAUGAUGAAGGACCUGUCAUUGGAGAAUCGACCAAAACUGACAGUGAUAACUUGGAAGGCACCUGACAUUACCUGGGGACAGCUAAAGAAACUGGACCAACAGGGAACUAUCUGGCUUGCAUCUAUGGGAGCCCCUGAAACUGCAGAGAACCAGUUUCUUAUGUAUCUGAUGGUAAUUGGGGGAGCUUCUGAGAAGGCAUCUGCAAAUGGCUCUGUGCUGCCACUCAACCAACUAUGACCAGGGAAGAAUGAUAGAAGCUUACUUUGCAUUGGAUAAUCCGCAUGUUCUAAGAAUUAAAGAAGGGGGAAAUGUGAGGGGUGUAUGACAAUACAUUCAAGCUUAUGUACAAGGCAUUUGAGGUUGAGGCAUGGAAAAAUACUGAGGCACUGUGUGUAUGUUGUUUGUGCAUGAAACUGUAAUUCCUUGACCCUGAAAAUAGGACAAGGAAUAGAAUUUGUAAUAAGGAGUGCUGAACACAGCCUCCUAAGAAUGUGGUUUGAGUGCUUUUAGAUGUUAUAAACAAGGCCAUAUGUGCCUCAUGACCCGACCCCAAAUAGCCACCUUGUAGAUGUUUCUUGUUUGUCUAAAUUGUAGUUCAACUAGCCUUCUCAAUAAAUACUUGGCAGAUGAAUCUUAAAGCAGCACUGUCUUGGAGGAGCUGCUCCCCUCCCUUUCAGCUGUAAUUGUCUGAAUACUUAUUUCUUGGUGUUCACUGCAGAGCAAGCUGCAGCACAGCUGCCGGCAUUUAUUCAUGCAAGAUUCCAGCUUGCUUAUCUAUGUCUGCAGCUCAAUUUUACAGGCUGCUCUUUGUUAAAACAAAAAAAACAAAACAAAAC